rnacentral:lncRNA from 1 species
CAGACAGUGUAACUGCACUAGGUGGCGCUCUUUCAGUGUGAUUAAUGUGAUGUUCAGUCAGUGGUGAUGGUGGGAGGAGCCAGUAAAGCUGCUCAUUACUGAUAAAGAGCUGAAUAAAGAGGAAGUAACUAAAGCAGACAGAUGUAGAGACAGAGAGAUUCACACAGAGAUCAUUCAGCAUAAAGAAGACUGAACUCAACUCACAAUGAAGAUCCUCCUCAUCUUCCUCACUUUCUACCUGAUCUCAGGUCAGAGCUUUUCUCUUUCAUCACUGCAGUAAUGAUGCUGUUUUCUGUUCAUCAGCUUUCUGAUCACAGUAUCAAUCUGAUUGACAGCUGCAGUGAGAUGCUUUAGCGUCACGGGAUAUUCUGGAGGAAGUCUUCUUGUUGAUUCUGGGAAACUUUGGUCCAGUGACUCUGCUAAAUAUAUGGCCAAAUUACCUGAGUGGAGAACAAUAAUAAAUGAUAAGAAACAUGAUAAAUGGAUUAAUGAAGGAAGAUUCACACUUUAUCGAAACAGUGAGGGAAACCUCAUGAUCUUCAUCAGAGAACUCAAUCAACAUGAUGCUGGAAGAUACGCAAUUGAUGUUCUUCACAACCAGCGUAUAUAUAUGACUGUGAAUGUGAAAGAAGAAGAAGAUUUCUCCGUGAUCUCCAUUAUUAGUGUGUGUGUGAUUCUGCUGCUGAUCGGUGGAUUCACUCUGACUGUGUGCAAAUUAAGACACAAGAGACGAGGUGACACACACACACACAGGCCAGUUCACUCACAGUUACCCACAAUCCCCUCUGAUGAGCUGCUGUACGCUACAGUUUCUCAUCCCCACUGAAUAUAUAUAUAUAUAU